CAGUCGCCACGGGAAUACGGAGGGAGCUAGCGUUAUUCGGAAUUACUGGGCGUAAAGCGCACGUAGGCGGCUUUGUAAGUAAGAGGUGAAAGCCCGGGGCUCAACCCCGGAAUUGCCUUUUAGACUGCAUCGCUUGAAUCAUGGAGAGGUCAGCGGAAUUCCGAGUGUAGAGGUGAAAUUCGUAGAUAUUCGGAAGAACACCAGUGGCGAAGGCGGCUGACUGGACAUGUAUUGACGCUGAGGUGCGAAAGCGUGGGGAGCAAACAGGAUUAGAUACCCCUGUAGUCCCUGUCUCUUAUAC
rnacentral:rRNA from 1 species